GGUAGUGGCUCAGUGGUAGAGCGCUUGCCUAGCAUGUAUGAGGCACUGGGUUCGAUCCUCAGCACCA
rnacentral:tRNA from 1 species